GGUGGGCUGUGUCGAAUGGCAAGACACCAGUCUUGAAAACUGGGGCCCUGCAAGGGGCGUGCAGGUUCGAGUCCUGCGCCCACCG
rnacentral:tRNA from 1 species